AUACGGAGGGGGCUAGCGUUGUUCGGAAUUACUGGGCGUAAAGCGCACGUAGGCGGAUUAAAAAGUUAGAGGUGAAAUCCCAGGGCUUAACCCUGGAACUGCCUUUAAAACUAGUAGUCUAGAGUUCGAGAGAGGUGAGUGGAAUUCCAAGUGUAGAGGUGAAAUUCGUAGAUAUUUGGAGGAACACCAGCGGCGAAGGCGGCUCACUGGCUCGAUACUGACGCUGAGGUGCGAAAGCGUGGGGAGCAAACAGGAUUAGAAACCCCGGUAGUCC
rnacentral:rRNA from 1 species